GUGCCAGCCGCCGCGGUAAGACGAAGGGGGCUAGCGUUGUUCGGAAUUACUGGGCGUAAAGGGCGCGUAGGCGGUCCAUUAAGUCAGGCGUGAAAGCCCUGGGCUCAACCUGGGAGUGGCGCUUGAUACUGGCGGACUAGAGAGUGGGAGAGGUUGGUGGAAUUCCCAGUGUAGAGGUGAAAUUCGUAGAUAUUGGGAAGAACACCGGUGGCGAAGGCGGCCAACUGGACCAUUUCUGACGCUGAGGCGCGAAAGCGUGGGGAGCAAACAGGAUUAGAUACCCGUGUAGUCC
rnacentral:rRNA from 1 species